rnacentral:rRNA from 1 species
AGAGUUUGAUCCUGGCUCAGAUUGAACGCUGGCGGCAUGCCUUACACAUGCAAGUCGAACGGCAGCACGGGGGCAACCCUGGUGGCGAGUGGCGAACGGGUGAGUAAUACAUCGGAACGUGUCCUGUAGUGGGGGAUAGCCCGGCGAAAGCCGGAUUAAUACCGCAUACGAUCUACGGAUGAAAGCGGGGGAUCUUCGGACCUCGCGCUAGAGGGGCGGCCGAUGGCAGAUUAGCUAGUUGGUGGGGUAAAGGCCCACCAAGGCGACGAUCUGUAGCUGGUCUGAGAGGACGACCAGCCACACUGGGACUGAGACACGGCCCAGACUCCUACGGGAGGCAGCAGUGGGGAAUUUUGGACAAUGGGGGCAACCCUGAUCCAGCAAUGCCGCGUGUGUGAAGAAGGCCUUCGGGUUGUAAAGCACUUUUGUCCGGAAAGAAAACAUCCUGGUUAAUACCUGGGGUGGAUGACGGUACCGGAAGAAUAAGCACCGGCUAACUACGUGCCAGCAGCCGCGGUAAUACGUAGGGUGCGAGCGUUAAUCGGAAUUACUGGGCGUAAAGCGUGCGCAGGCGGUUCGCUAAGACCGAUGUGAAAUCCCCGGGCUUAACCUGGGAACUGCAUUGGUGACUGGCGGGCUAGAGUAUGGCAGAGGGGGGUAGAAUUCCACGUAGCAGUGAAAUGCGUAGAGAUGUGGAGGAAUACCGAUGGCGAAGGCAGCCCCCUGGGCCAAUACUGACGCUCAUGCACGAAAGCGUGGGGAGCAAACAGGAUUAGAUACCCCGGUAGUCC